rnacentral:lncRNA from 1 species
AGCUUGGAUUUCGCCUGGUUUACCUAGCUGACCACAGGCGGCCAUUUGAUCGUCUCCUCUACUCAAUCGCAGAAGCACAACACAUCCUGCUUCAGCAAGAAUGUUUCUGAACUCAAUUAUCUUCUCCUUUUUGGUGGGUUUGAAGAAGGAUCCAGAAUGAGGGUUGAAAGAAAUCAGGUUAAUCUUGCAUGGAAUACCCUGGACAAGGUUGAUUAGUCUCUUUGCAUCCUCAACUGGUAGGUUUGAAGAAGGAUCCAGAAUGAGGGUUAAAAGAAAUCAGGUUAAUCUUGCAUGGAAUACCCUGGACAAGAUUGAUUAGUCUCUUUGCAUCCUCAAUACUGCAAU